rnacentral:rRNA from 1 species
UACGUAGGGUGCAAGCGUUGUCCGGAAUUAUUGGGCGUAAAGCGCGCGCAGGCGGUCCUUUAAGUCUGAUGUGAAAGCCCACAGGCUCAACCGUGGAGGGUCAUUGGAAACUGGGGGACUUGAGUGCAGGAAGAGGAGAGUGGAAUUCCAGCGUGUAGCGGUGGAAAUGCGCAGGAUAAUCGGGAGGAACACCAGCGGCGAAGGCGG